AUUGAACGCUAGCGGGAUGCCUUACACAUGCAAGUCGAACGGCAGCAUAAGAGAGCUUGCUCUCUUGAUGGCGAGUGGCGAACGGGUGAGUAAUGUAUCGGAACGUGCCCAGUAGCGGGGGAUAACUACGCGAAAGCGUAGCUAAUACCGCAUACGCCCUACGGGGAAAGGAGGGGAUCUGCAAGGACCUUUCACUAUUGGAGCGGCCGAUAUCGGAUUAGCUAGUUGGCAGGGUAGCGGCCUACCAAGGCGACGAUCCAUAGCCGGCCUGAGAGGGUGAACGGCCACAUUGGGACUGAGACACGGCCCAG
rnacentral:rRNA from 1 species